UACGUAGGGGGCAAGCGUUGUCCGGAUUCAUUGGGCGUAAAGAGCGUGUAGGCGGCCAGGUAGGUCGGUUGUGAAAACUGGAGGCUCAACCUUCAGAGGUCGACCGAAACCAUCUGGCUAGAGUCCGGGAGAGGAGAGUGGAAUUCCUGGUGUAGCGGUGAAAUGCGCAGAUAUCAGGAAGAACACCCGUGGCGAAAGCGGCUCUCUGGGACGGUACUGACGCUGAGGAGCGAAAGCGUGGGGAGCGAACAGG
rnacentral:rRNA from 1 species